UAACUAUAACGGUCCUAAGGUAGCGAAAUUCCUUGUCGGGUAAGUUCCGACCUGCACGAAUGGCGUAAUGAUGGCCAGGCUGUCUCCACCCGAGACUCAGUGAAAUUGAACUCGCUGAGAAGAUGCAGUGUACCCGCGGCAAGACGGAAAGACCCCGUGAACCUUUACUAUAGCUUGACACUGAACAUUGAGCCUUGAUGUGUAGGAUAGGUGGGAGGCUUUGAAGCGUGGACGCCAGUCUGCGUGGAGCCAACCUUGAAAUACCACCCUUUAUUGUUUGAUGUUCUAACGUUGGCCCCUUACCGGGGUUGCGGACAGUGUCUGGUGG
rnacentral:rRNA from 1 species